GUGUCAUGAGGUAGAUCUCAGGCGGCUGGUGAGAGAAAAAGUAGAUCUUGGUCUCAAAAAGUUUGGGAACCCCUGAUGUAAGGUAUAAAUCCAGGUUAGUAAGUAAGCUCAUUAUUUGUAUUUAGUUUUUUUUUUUUUAUUGUUCCAGAAGUGUAAAUUUAAAAAUAUUUUAUAUUAUUAAUUUUUUUAUUCUUCAAGAAAGUUCAAAAUGAGUGAAGCGAAAUCAUUUUAAUAGAAGCAUCUUUAACUUCAGAAAUAACAGUCAAGUCAAACAUCUGACGCUUUCUGAUUUGAAAAUGUUUAUGUUCUAGUAUUUUGUUCUGUAAUAAAGCAAUCAACUCAUGUUUUAUGAACCGAUGGAAAUAUUGUCUUAAUUUAUACUGAUCAGUUUGGAAAGCAGUAGCUGCAUCUGUAGUUUGCUUAAGAUAAGUUGUUAACUUUGUAAUAGAAAAUGCAUUUUAUCUGAGAUUUGUUUCAAAUGUAUAAAACCAAAAGGAAGUCUGGGUUGGAAUAAAAAGAGAGUGAGCAUGUUGUUAGCGGGAUGUACAAGCGUGAUAAAUUUCCAUUUGCCUUUUGUCAGUGAAUACGUCUGGGCCCAUAUGCUGCACUACAAAGUACAUGAAAGCAGCGUUUAAAAAGCCAGGCCUACCACAUUAAAGCCUAUAACAAUCUAUGUUCAUGUGUGUUGAAGACGUUCAGGAGGGCUUCCCACACCUUGCUCCCUCCACUGGCAUUCACUCCACAGCAGAGAAGCAGAAGCUCACUGUGCAGUAAUACUUCCAUUGACAGGUUGUGGAGAGCUUCCUGACAGUCUGAGUACUCCUGAGUCAAUACGAUCAACACAGCAGAAGUCUUCUAAUCCUCAGAAGUCCUUGGGUGAGCUUGCAGGACUGGGAAGCAUGUCUCCCUCCUCAGUUUCUGGCUCUAAUUGAUUUUGGCAUUAAUCUGCAGCUUCUGGACCGAUGGCUAAUAUCUGACG